GUCAGUGCUGUAUUCUGAGUUUUCAAGCUCAGAAAUGGAAGGAAGAAGUCAAGGUACUGGACAUUUGGCCGAAAACAGUGUUGGUGAGUGGCAGGGAGGAGAUUGGAGAAGUUGCAGGUGAGAAGAUUUUCAUUCUAUCAGUUCGAAGAGAGGAUAGGAAAUGAGCAGCGUCUAAAGAGGGCAGAUAAUGGUAAAGAAGGCUGGAUGGAAGAGAAAGAGAUGAAAUGAGGUAGAAAUGGGGUGGAAAUGGAGCUGCUGAAAACAAGCGCAUGUAGGCUUGGUGAGGUUGCAGAGAGCGUUCGCAUUAUUUCAAAUGACAGAAUGGGGGAGUCAAUGGAGGAGUUUACUAGAAGGAAGGAGGCCUUGGGGCAGCAGCUGGCUGGUGUUUAGAGAAAUGGCAGGAAGGAUUGUGAUUUCUAAUGAAAAAAGGGAGGUGGGCUGAAUGGUGAUGACAGACAUAGUUAUGAAUGGAAGAAAAAGCCGGCAUCUGGCACAUGGGGAGGCCAGGAGUCACGGAGAAGCAUCGUACGGGGACCGCUGAUGGACGGUCGCGCGUUUCACUCGAGGCUCUCCAGGCAGCACAAGUGUCCAUCUCCAUCUUAAAUUACGAAGUCGGUUGUGGAAGGAGGCAGGCCUCUACGCUUCUUCAGUUUAUAAAUAAGAAAGAUAAGCAGGCACGUCAACGGCACAACCCUCUCUCUCCUCUUCUCUCGCUCUUUUGAAAGCAUGGAAGACAGUCUAGUGGACGGUGAGAGUGUCAUUCCUGCGCUGAAUCUGGAGGAGGAAAGUACCUCACCAUCUUCGAAGUCCCCACCAGGUGAAGCACCACCUCAAGGAUCUUCGUCGUCCCCACCACCUGAAGGAAAGGGAGAAAUGAAAGGCGGAGAAAGUGCUGAGAAUGAAGACCUGGAGUGCGAAGGCAUUCCUAACAACAUGCUUUCUCUUUUCCACGUACUUCCUUAUGUCCCAGAAGAGGCGACGCCAGCGUCUGAUGAAGCUUGCAUCCUAAUCUCCACCAUCGUCCAUGACUAGCGACUCUCUCUCUCUCGCGCGCUCUCUCUCGGUGUUGCAUUUUAUGUAAAUUGUGUAAAAAGACGAUGGUAGGAAUGUUUGAACACCCAGCCGACUAGGUUGGUUAAACAUAGAAAAUCCAGGAAUUAUCGUGACCGAAUCAUGGGAGUUUUAACGAGUUAAAAGUGGGCUUA